ensembl:rRNA 5S_rRNA 5S ribosomal RNA
AAAAUUAUUUUCCCCUCCCUGAACGCACCCGAUCUCAUCUGAUCUUGGAAGCUAAGCAGGGUCGUGCUUGGUUAGUACUUGGAUGGGAGACCGCCUUGGAAUACCGGGUGCUGUAUGCU